UGGGGGUGCUGCUAUGAGGGCACUGUGCACGGCUCACCAGCACACGCUCCUCCUUGCGCUGGGGAGAAAGCAAGGCUCGAUUUCCCCUAAAAGUACUUAAUUCUAAUUAAAUGCUUCAGGUUUGAUAGGUGGUUGCUCAGCCCAGCAUAACUGCCCAGCAAGGGGUAUCACUCAGUGCACCUGAGCUGGAAACCAACUCAAUGCAGCCCAGGACCACCCGCAGCACCUGGCUGUGUGCACAGAGGGCACAGCGGGACUGACAGACAUGGCACAGUCCGACCGAUGGACACAGCACAGUGCAACCGAUGGACAUGGCACAGCAGGACUGAUGGACAGAGCAGAGCAGGACUGAUGGACACGGCACAGCAGGACCAUUGGACAGAGCAGAGCAGGACUGAUAGACACAGCACCAGCAAGAGCCCCCAGGAGCUGCCACGCUGACCUUCCUUCCACCAUCCGGACCUGAAGAGCUCCCAGCUGAACCUCACCACGCGUCACCUGCACCCCAAAAAUCACCAGCCUGACCCCACACCCAACGGUUGGAGUCCCCAAGAGGUGCCAGCAGGACGCUGUACCUGGCAAACAGACCCUGAGAGCUGCCAGGAGACCCUGUGCCCUUUGGUUGGACCCCCAAGCUGUCCUGAUGAGCCUUCUUCCACCAUCCGGACCCCAGGAACCGGCACCAAGACCAAGAGGCCCCAGCUGCACCUCGCUCCCCAUCACCCAGAGCCCCCCAGCAGGCUCCACACCCACCAAGCACCCCCAGAGCCUCCGGCCAUGCCUGCAGCUGUCAGCCCGUGGGUAGCUGUGGUGGAUGCCGCGGGGCAGAGGGAACACACAACCCUCUGGGAUACAGUGUCCCCAAAUCAUCAGCCACCAGCCCAUAGGUAGGGAUCAUAUGGGGGCUUUGGCUGGUGCCUGAGCACAGCCCUCCCAGGGAAUGGGGUACGCUUUGUGCCCCGGUUCCUUCUGAAGGAGGGAGACAGUUGGAGCAGAGGGGCUGCGGUGGUCCCGCACUGCCCUUGGACUCACCUUGGCUCCCCAGAGGCAAACACUAACGUCCCCCAGAGCCGCUUCUCUUUUCGCUCAUGGUGAAUUCCUCCAGCGCUCUCCCUGCGUUCCCUCCACGGGCUGCGCACCCUUUGACAUGGCAGCCACGUGCCACGAGGAAACCCUCCUUCACCGACUUUAACUCUGUCUCUCCCUCAAAUAACAGCGGGCUCAGAUUGCCCUGCGCUCCUCACUGCGUGGCGUGGGGGUCCCGGCGCUGGUGGGCAAAACCCCGGCGGUGUCCAGGGAGUGCUCUGGGGUUUGCAGGUGGCAAAGUGCAAUGGGCAUUUGUGGGUGCAGAGAGGAUGGGGAGAAAAUCCCCUUGGGGUGCUGCAAGGGAAGGGGACGGCGGGGACACGGCAGGGAUAUGGCAGGGAUACAGCGGGGAUACGGCAGGUCCCAGCGCUGGGCACGGGAAGGCUGGGGAAGGAGCAGGAAUAGCUGAAAGAACUAAAUAUGGAAACUUGGAUAAAACAGAGCUGAAGUAGGGAGACGGUUUCCUAACAGAAUUCAAAGCAUAUAAACAAAGUCGGGGAGGGAGAGAGGUUGUCUGGAGGGGGCCUUUAUGAGUAAUAUUUAGAAAAACUGGCUGGAAAUAUCUCUUCAGGAAAGGCAAUUUCAUCAAAGCGGAUCUGCAGCUUUGUGGGGACCGUGUAGUUCUGGGAACACGUUGUUUGUGGGGAAGAGGUGCUGAAAACACAAGCCCCGAUGGUGGAAAGCCGCUCCUUAAUUCACUAAGGAGCUCAGCUUUGUCGGCUUCCCACCACCUUCUCCUUUGCGUUUUGGUGCUGUGUUGGAGGAAGGAGUUGUUUAAUGUGAUUACCCCCGUAAGGGCGACUUAAGAAGAUUAGUGGGGCUCAGCUUCAUGGUGUUGCAGGGGCUGUGGGCAGCGGGCUCACGUCCUGCACCCGCAGGGAGCUCAGCUGCUGACCGCAGGGCUCUCUGCACCCAAAGGAGGCAGCCUGCUGGAACACAGAGCCCCCACAUCUGACCCAAAAUGGCUUCUUUGCUUUCUCCCAGCUCUACAAGGCAACGUCUCUGUGUCCAGGUGGAUCUCAAUACGUUAUUUACAUCCAGAUUUUUCUUUUCCACAUGUUUCUUUGCUUGGGGAUGCUUGCCCCAAAGCAACAGCUGGUUUGGGAUUAUUGCAGAGGACUGCUGCAACAGGAGCCAGGUGGGAUGGGAGAGGGCUGACUGAUGGGAGGAAGGCCAGGAGUGCAACCUCUGCUGUAGCAUCCAAUUUCCAUAAGUGUCAAACAAACCCAGCCCUCCUGAAAGCCGGCUGGAGGCUGCAGUCGGUGCAGAACAGCUCCUCUGGGUGUCAUUGCUGGCGCAGGAAGCCCUGGUUGAGCAGGUAGCAGAUGUCAGUAAGUGCGAAAUCAACAAACCACCACAAGAAAUUACAUAGGCACCAAUAAACCAGGGAGUGGAAAAAAAGCUGUUGUGGGUUUGGGUUGUUUUUUUUUUUUUUUUUCCUGUUUUGUUUGUUUGUUUUUGUUUUUCUUGGCUCCUCCGUGUUUCGGGCAGGCUGACACAGACAUCUCUGUGUCUGCAGAUGGCUGCGCUCCCUGGGGAAGCCAAACCGCCCCAGACAAUGCAUGCAUUGCUGCUGAGAGCAGGUGGGAAGGAAAUGGAGCAUCACGGGCACAGGGCAACGGCACACAAAGGGAUUCAGUAGGAGAAGGGGUGGGUGCUGUGCAGAAUCCCCUCCUUCAGCAGGGAAACAGCUGGCUGGUUGGGCAGCUGGGCCCGGCGGCAGUCAGCAGCAGUUCUGGCUAAUUGAUUUAUAAAUGAGUCAUUUCAGCAAGGGGCUGGAUAGCCUUGCAGAUCAUCGCUCCCAGUCGCUGCAACAAAUGGAGACUAGCUUAGAUAUAGUGAGAAUUGGGAGGGGAAAAAUAUUGUUUAAGAAAAAGCUGUGGCACAUCUCUUGUUUCUCUUGGCUGCUAUGCCUCGUGAAUGUCCCAAAACCUCAAAGUUGCAAGACUUGCAAUAAAACUGCGGGAAUUUGCUGCAUUUUGGUGCCAACACACAGUCUUAAGGGCAACCUAGCUCUGAAACCCCAACGAACAUGGCCAAGGAGAUCUGUCCUGUUUCCUACAAACGCAUCUGUCUGAUUGCUGCAGGCUGGAGCACUCUUCCUCCUCCCAUGCAGGGCACACAGCAUGCGCAGAGCUGCUGCACCUUCCUAGCUGUCAGCUGGCUGCAAACAAUUCGGGCACCAUCGGGAGGCAACACCAUCCUCUUUUCAGGAUGCGUUUUUUCACGGUAAGAACAGUGAAGCCGUUGAGUCACACUGCAGAGGAGCUCAUCCUGGAGCCACAGCUGCGGUUCCCGGGCAGCGAGGCACGUCGCUCUGCUCCAGCACGGGUAGGUGGGCAGCAGGAAGAUGCCCCGUGAGGAUGGAUCAGGAGCCCACGGUGCGAGGCAGACAGCUCAGAGCGGCCCACAGGGACGGAUCUCAGACUGUGCCAGCAGGGCUGGGAAUAUCUCUGCCCAAGCCCUGGAGGAGCGGCCCCCGGGCCUGGCUGUGCGCAAGGCCGCGCCUGAGGCCUCCGGCCUGCAGGAGCCGAGCGCAGGCCUAGGCCAAGGCCUUGGGUGCUUCCUCAAGGCCCGGACGGCGCCC
ensembl:lncRNA